AGAACUGUGUUUUCAGGGAUUGUUUCUGUAGUUGGUGAUUAGAGGAGUGUGUCCAUGAAUGGUUGAUCUUGCUAGCCACAAUGAUGAGUUAUAGUAUUUUUUCCUGAGCAUAGGGUAAGUGAGUAGUGCUGUCUGCGUACAGUUGCUGUUUGCUCUGGAUGACUGCUUUUUUUCCUUUAGGAAGCUAGAGGGUGAAGGUGCAGACUGAGUGGU